rnacentral:lncRNA from 1 species
UGCAGUGUUGUUGUGGCUGUGAGAAGGCGGCGGCGGAGUAGCAGCAGCCGGACCAGACUCCCUAGUAGCUCAGGCGCUGCACUGCGCCGGCCCUGGCAGGGAGCCUGAUCCUUCACUGAAUUCAACCCAGUCUACUCAACAGUUCACCAAGAGUCUUGCUAUCUCCAAUUUCAGGAUAUGCUUUCCAUCACCAAUACCCAGUCAGCUUUCAAAAGUCAGACUACAACUGAAUCAAAGAAUUACACAAGAAAAGGGAAACUGAGUCAUCCUUCAGCAACUCCAGGAACAAAUCAAGGUGCAGUGUCUCACGCCUGUAAUCCUAG